rnacentral:rRNA from 1 species
GAUGAACGCUGGCGGCGUGCCUAAUACAUGCAAGUCGAGCGAACAGACGAGGAGCUUGCUCCUCUGACGUUAGCGGCGGACGGGUGAGUAACACGUGGAUAACCUACCUAUAAGACUGGGAUAACUUCGGGAAACCGGAGCUAAUACCGGAUAAUAUAUUGAACCGCAUGGUUCAAUAGUGAAAGACGGUUUUGCUGUCUCUUAUAGAUGGAUCCGCGCCGCAUUAGCUAGUUGGUAAGGUAACGGCUUACCAAGGCUACGAUGCGUAGCCGACCUGAGAGGGUGAUCGGCCACACUGGAACUGAGACACGGUCCAGACUCCUACGGGAGGCAGCAGUAGGGAAUCUUCCGCAAUGGGCGAAAGCCUGACGGAGCAACGCCGCGUGAGUGAUGAAGGUCUUCGGAUCGUAAAACUCUGUUAUUAGGGAAGAACAAAUGUGUAAGUAACUAUGCACGUCUUGACGGUACCUAAUCAGAAAGCCACGGCUAACUACGUG